UACGGAAGGGGCGAGCGUUGUUCGGAAUCAUUGGGCGUAAAGGGCGCGUAGGUGGUGCUGUAUGUCUCCCGUGAAAGCCCACGGCUCAACCGUGGUGUGUCGGGAGAAACUGCAGGACUUGAGGCUGGGAGGGGCUGGUGGAAUUCCCUGUGUAGCGAUGAAAUGCGUAGAGAUGGGGGAGAACACUCGUGGCGAAGGCGGCCAGCUAGACCAGUUCUGACACUGAGGCGCGACAGCGUGGGGAGCAAACAGG
rnacentral:rRNA from 1 species